GAAAAUAUUUGGUACACUGUCAGUAGAGUUUUUAGACUCCCCAAGCAAGGUCAAAAGGUUGACAAGUGUUCUAUAGAGAUAUAGUACUAUAUUUUCUUUUUAAAAAAAGAGACGUGACAAUUUUUAAAAACUACUUGUAGAAUAAAAAAAAGUACACUGCCAAUAUACUAAAUAUUAACUCAUAAUAUAUCAUCCCUAUAU
rnacentral:lncRNA from 1 species